CGCGUAAGGGGUACCUGCGGAGGGAUCAUUACACAACAAAAAUAUGAGGGUGUGGUUUGCUGGCAACAGCGUCCGCCCCAAGUAUUUUUCACCCAUGUCUUUUGCGCACUUUUUGUUUCCUGGGCGAGUUCGCUCGCCACCAGGACCCAACCAUAAACCUUUUUUUAUGCAGUUGCAAUCAGCGUCAGUAUAAUAAUUCAAUUUAUUAAAACUUUCAACAACGGAUCUCUUGGUUCUGGCAUCGAUGAAGAACGCAGCGAAAUGCGAUACGUAGUGUGAAUUGCAGAAUUCAGUGAAUCAUCGAAUCUUUGAACGCACAUUGCGCCCUUUGGUAUUCCAAAGGGCAUGCCUGUUCGAGCGUCAUUUGUACCCUCAAGCUUUGCUUGGUGUUGGGCGUCUUUUUGUCUCUCCCCUUGUUGGGGGAGACUCGCCUUAAAACGAUUGGCAGCCGACCUACUGGUUUUCGGAGCGCAGCACAAAUUUGCGCCUUCCAAUCCACGGGGCGGCAUCCAGCAAGCCUUUGUUUUCUAUAACAAAUCCACAUUUUGACCUCGGAUCAGGUAGGGAUACCCGCUGAACUUAAGCAUAUCAAAAC
rnacentral:rRNA from 1 species